rnacentral:lncRNA from 1 species
CUGACAUCAAGCUUCACUGAUCCAAGGGAUGAAUCUGCGGCUUGGUCUCCGGUACGUCCUGGUACAGGCCGAGAGAGCAUCAAGAAAAAACGAGAUUUAGCAGCUGGUGCCUCGGGUUUGGCCUCUUUCCCAAGAUUCUUUCCGUUGGCAUCCGCAACAGCACUUAUCUCCAUUGUCUCGGGGGAAGAAGUGGCCACAUUAUCCGUCUUGAUACUUAUUCCCAAGUCGACUGUAAACACAAACAUAAACAGCGGUUAUUCAGCCAAGCCGGGAAAUUCA